GGCUUUGGUCCAGUGUUUCCCAGCGCUGCUGCAGAAGUCACGCACCUGUCCCUGUCUUCAGUGCAUCACAAACUCCAUGGAGCACAGAGUCCACUCCCUUGCACAGAGCUCAGCUCGCAGUCCAGACCACCCACAUCAUGAGUGAAUGCUCUGAUCUUGCCCUCCAACCACCUGGAACUGGAGAACUGCCUCUGAAAAUAGACUACACCCUCUUUUACUUCCUAGUGGCUCAGAUACUUCUAGGUGAUCUUUUGAUUUGCCCACUUCAAGACACCAGUUGAAAGGAACUGCUUAAGCGUGGA